rnacentral:rRNA from 1 species
AACGAACGCUGGCGGCAUGCCUAACACAUGCAAGUCGAACGAGACCUUCGGGUCUAGUGGCGCACGGGUGCGUAACGCGGGGGAACCUGCCCUUAGGUUCGGAAUAACUCCCCGAAAGGGGUGCUAAUACCGGUUAAUGUCUUCGGACCAAAGAUUUAUCGCCUUUGGAUGGGCCCGCGUUGGUUUAGCUAGUUGGUAGGGUAAAAGCAUACCAAGGCGACGAUCCAUAGCUGGUCUGAGAGGAUGAUAAGCCACACUGGGACUGAGACACGGCCCAGACUCGUACGGGAGGCAGCAGUGUGGAAUAUUGGAGAAUGGACGCAAGCCUGAUCCAGCAACGCCGGGUGAGUGAUGAAGGCCUUAGGGUUGUAAAGCUCUUUUACCCGGGAUGAUAAUGACAGUACCGGGAGAAUAAGCUCCGGCUAACUCCGUG